CAGUCGAGCGAAGCAGUUAAGUUGAUUUCUUCGGAUUGAUUCUUAAUUGACUGAGCGGCGGACGGGUGAGUAACGCGUGGGUGACCUGCCCCAUACCGGGGGAUAACAGCUGGAAACGGCUGCUAAUACCGCAUAAGCGCACAGAGCUGCAUGGCUCGGUGUGAAAAACUCCGGUGGUAUGGGAUGGGCCCGCGUCUGAUUAGGCAGUUGGCGGGGUAACGGCCCACCAAACCGACGAUCGGUAGCCGGCCUGAGAGGGCGACCGGCCACAUUGGGACUGAGACACGGCCCAAACUCCUACGGGAGGCAGCAGUGGGGAAUAUUGCACAAUGGGGGAAACCCUGAUGCAGCGACGCCGCGUGAGCGAAGAAGUAUUUCGGUAUGUAAAGCUCUAUCAGCAGGGAAGAUAAUGACGGUACCUGACUAAGAAGCCCCGGCUAACUACGUGCCAGCAGCCGCGGUAAUACGUAGGGGGCAAGCGUUAUCCGGAUUUACUGGGUGUAAAGGGAGCGUAGACGGCAAGGCAAGUCUGAUGUGAAAACCCAGGGCUUAACCCUGGGACUGCAUUGGAAACUGUCUGGCUCGAGUGCCGGAGAGGUAAGCGGAAUUCCUAGUGUAGCGGUGAAAUGCGUAGAUAUUAGGAAGAACACCAGUGGCGAAGGCGGCUUACUGGACGGUAACUGACGUUGAGGCUCGAAAGCGUGGGGAGCAAACAGGAUUAGAUACCCUGGUAGUCC
rnacentral:rRNA from 1 species